rnacentral:rRNA from 1 species
UACGUAGGCAGCAAGCGUUGUUCGGAGUUACUGGGCGUAAGGGUGUGUAGGCGGUUGGAUAAGUGUGGUGUGAAAUCUCCCCGGCUUAACUGGGAGGGUGCGCUACAAACUGUCUGACUAGAGUGUGGGAUGGGUAAGUGGAAUUCCUGGUGUAGCGGUGAAAUGCGUAGAGAUUAGGAAGAACACCAGUGGCGAAGGCGACUUACUGGACUGUAACUGACGCUGAGGCAUGAAAGCGUGGGGAGCAAACAGG